rnacentral:lncRNA from 1 species
AUCAAAAGAAGGGCGCCCAGCACCACGCCCGCCGCGCACACACAUGGCGUUCAAUGGCUACGUUGAAGACAGCUGGGGCUGCCGCACGCCUCGGGGUUACUGUCGGGCACCCGGCGGGCGGGGCCGGCGCUGGGGCGGGGGAGGGCUUCCUCGCCCUCAGAAACCACAUUCGCAGAAACGUUUUUAACUGGCAAGGUUUCGAGUUCCCAACCACAGCACCCUCAGUGAUGGUUUUCAGAAGACCUUGUUAGCUCCUCUCCUCCAGAGACCCAUCCUUCGCUGACAUCCCACCGAUUUGGGAGCAGGAAAAAACAGACUCCUGCAAAAUACCUCUUCUUCCAGUGCCCUGUACCCCUCUCUACUUACUUCGAGUCCCUGCAGUCCAGCAACAACCCCAAACGAGUGAAGGGAGGAGACAUAGGUUUGUCCAGGCUCUGCCACCGACGGGUGAUUUGGGAUGAGUCCUUCUCCAGUAUCAUUAUCUUCAACUGUAAAACAUGAGGGUUAGUCCGAAUGAUCUCCAAACGCUUCAGCAUUAAAGUUAGGUGAUGAAUCCUAAGAUUUUGCAGUUCUAUAAUGUCACAUCUCCUCCGUUUCAGAGAGGGCCCGCAGGGAAUCUUGUUAAGGAUAACUGCCAUCGAAGUUACAAGUUUGUUCUGUGAUUGAAGAGUUUCAGGUCUUCUAGAUUUCUUUGGCAUGACGCAUAACUAUUUCAAGAUACUAACAUUUGGGCAGGGCGUGGUGGCUCAGGCCUGUAGUCCUAACACUUUGGGGGGCCGAGGCGGGCAGAUCACCUGAGGGUAGGAGUUAGAGACCAGUCUGGCCAACAUGGUGAAACCCCGUCUCUACUAAAAAUACAAAAAUUAGCCGGGCGUGGCGGUACAUGCCUGUAAUCCCAGCUACUCAGGAGGCUAAGGCAGAAGAAUCGCUUGAAUCCAGGAGGCGGAGGUUGCAGUGAGCUGAGAUCACGCCACUGCACCCCAGCCUGGGCAACAGAGGGAGACUCCUUCUGAAAAAAAAAAAAAAAAAAAGAUACUAACAUUUAAGGUUAAGAAUGUAGGUCAUUUCCCCAGAGGACUAACAGACUCGAGGGCACACACCCCAAAUUUUAUUUCUUUGACUCUGUCAUUGCCCCCAGAACAGUAUAUAAUGUAGCCAAUUGUUGUGGAUUUAUUGUUAAUGAAUAAAAUAAAAUUUGUGACUAGCAGGGAUAGGGGUCCUAUGCUGUCAUUUUAAUAUGAAUAGAGUUUUUAAAAACUCACAGAUAAAUGUAUCACAUGAGAAAAAAAUACAAAGGCUGAACAUAGAGCAGCAAUGUUAAUCUGAUAAAUCGUAAAUAAGUGUAUACAUUUUAAUAGAGAUUAGUACAAAGACCUGUAAU